GACGAACGCUGGCGGCGUGCUUAACACAUGCAAGUCGAACGGAAAGGCCUGCUUUCCCUUGUGGAUUGCGGGUACUCGAGUGGCGAACGGGUGAGUAACACGUGAGUGAUCUGCCCCCAACUUGGGUAUAAGCCUGGGAAACUGGGUCUAAUUCCCGAUAGGACUGCAGGGUGGUGCCUGUGGUGGAAAACGAUUUUCUAGUGGUUGGGGAUGAGCUCUCGGCCUAUCAGCUUGUUGGUGGGGUAAUGGCCUACCAAGGCGGCGACGGGGAGCCGGACUGAGAGGGUGGACGGCCCCAUUGGGACUGAGAUACGGCCCAGACUCCUACGGGAGGCAGCAGUGGGGGAUAUAGCACAAUGGGCGGAAGCCUGAUGCAGCGACGCCGCGUGGGGGAUGACGGGGUUCGGGUUGUACUCUCCUUUCGACCGCGAGGAAGCCACCUGGUUGGAAGGGUGGUGACGGUAGUGGUAGAAGAAGCACCGGCUAACUACGUG
rnacentral:rRNA from 1 species